AAAAUUGCUCUCUCUUUUUUUAUUUUUAUUUUUAAAUUUCAUGGUAGCUCAAAAUAGGCUAAAAGUGAGAGUGAGAGAGAGUAAGUGUCAGUUGACUCAAAUUAUUCUUCAGAUACUGAAUACUGCUUGUAGUGUUUAUAAAGCAGAAAUUUCAGUUGCCAUUUUCGUUUUUUCAAAAAAAAUUUCACCCAAUGGCAUUGGCAAUAAGAGUACUACUGCUAAAUCUCCUAGUUAUUUUCGGGGUGCUUUCACAAAAAAUCACUGCUCAACAACAAGUACAAAUGCAUAAAAAACGAGGCAUUAGGGCAUGCAAAUUUGAUAAAAUUUAUCAGUUGGGUGACUCAAUUUCUGAUACUGGCAAUUGCAUUAGAGAUAGCUUUUGUGGUGCUCAUUCUUCAUGUUCCAAACAUCCUUAUGGAAUGAACUAUUUCCAUAAACCAACUGGGCGUUGUUCCAAUGGUUUGCUCAUGAUUGAUUUCAUAGCACUGGAAUCUGGUCUUCCUCUCCUAAAUCCCUACAAGGAUCAAAGUGCAAACUUUACACAUGGUGCAAAUUUUGCAGUAGCAGGGGCUACUGCUUUAUCAGCCCAAGUCCUGGCAAAGAAGAAGAUUGCUAUGUCUAUCACUAAUAGUUCAUUAAGUGUGCAACUUGAUUGGAUGGCUUCUCAUUUCAAAACUACCUGCUCCCCUGAUUGCCCAGCACAAUUGAAGAGGUCUCUUUUCCUAGUUGGACAUAUAGGAGGAAAUGAAAUCAAUUUUGGUUUAUCACAAGGUAAAACCAUGGAAGAGUUGCGUAGAAUGGUUCCGGAUAUUGUUCAGACCAUCAUUCAUGGUGUUAAAAGAGUCAUUGGUUUUGGCGCUACUCGAAUUUUAGUUCCAGGAAAUUUCCCAAAAGGCUGUGGUCCAGCUUUCCUAAUGCAAUUCAUGACCAACAACUCAGCUGCCUACGAUGAGUACCAUUGUUUGAAAGACUUAAAUAAUUUGGCGAUCUUCUACAAUGAUCAUUUACAACAAUCCAUCGAUGAGAUGAAGAAAGAGUAUCCAAACAUUACACUUAUUUAUGGUGACUACUACAAUGCUUAUAUGUGGCUUCUACAGAAUGCCGUCAGUCUUGGAUUGGACAAAAACUCUCUACAAAAAGCAUGUUGUGGAAUAGGAGGAGACUACAAUUAUGACAAAAGUAAAAAAUGUGGUGCUCCAGGAGUGUCAGUGUGUGUUCACCCUAGUACUCACUUCAAUUGGGAUGGACUCCAUUUGACACAAGCAGCAUACGGUUGGUUAGCAAGAUGGUUAAUUGAUGACAUGAUACCCAAAUUGAACUGCCAUGUUUAACUUCUUGGCGAAGUGGAUGAAUCAGAACACACGUUCAAAAUGAGCUCUCCUUCUUUCUUGACAGAGCAGCGCAUGUUUAAGGUGCAAGAGCAAAGGAGGCUUAUGAGGCAGGAUGGUAUGGUUGAAGGAGCUUUGGCAGCCAACCACAAGACUCAAAGCAAGGGUAAUAAUUUAAGAAAAAAUUACCCACCUUGCCAGCACUGUGGAAAAAUAGGUCAUCCUCCAUUUAAAUAUUGGAAGAGAUCAGAUGCACAAUGCAAGAUUUGUAAUCAAUUUGGUCAUGAAGCCGUGAUUUGCAAAAAGAAAUCUAAAAAAUAUGAAGCAGAUGCCCAAGUCACCAAAGAAGAAGAACAUCACUUAUUUGUGGCAACAUAUUCUUCAACAUAAAAAUUUGAUUUUUGGAUGAUUGAUAGUGGUUUGUACAAACCACAUGACAUAUGACAAAACUCUUUUUAAAAAAUUUUUGCCUUGAAAAAUAAGACAAUCAGAAUUGGGAAUGGUGACUAUAUUCCUGCAGAAGAAAAAGGGAAUGUUGCAAUCAAAACAGUUUCAGGUACAAAAAUAAUUUCAAAUAUCCUUUACGUGCCCGAUAUUGACAAAAGUUUGUUAAGUGUUGGCCAGCUAAUGGAAGAAGGAUUUAAACUAUUGUUUGGAGAUAACUAUUAUCGAAUAUUUGAUUCUACUAAUCAUGAGAUUUUACAAGUUGACAUGAGAGACAAAAUUUGCAUAUUUAAUCCAAUAGACAAUGCACAUAAGCCAUGCAAGAACAAAGAUGAAUUGACAGAUU